GUGAUCCAGCUGAGCCUGGCUAAACACCCCAAGAACAAGUCGACGCCUAAAAACAUCUGCAGUAAAGGCCUGGCCGCACAUCACUAAGAAGGAAACCCAACAUCUGGCCAUGACUUUGGUUUGUCAGUCACUGACUGCAAAUGAUUUGCAAUCUUAUAUUAAAUAGGAUUUAUUAUUGUUAGUUUGUUCGAUUACUUUUCCACAUAUGAGGGACCAUACACUACAAAAAGUGCUACAGCUCGAACCCUACACCGUUCACCCAAUUUGGAUGUUUAUACUUAUUUAAAAAAUAUCCUAAUUUUGAGCUUGUUUGCAUUUACUUUAACUCUAAUACACACAUUAGUACUUUUUACAUAAACAUUACAGGACAGUGAAAUUCUUUCCUCACAUAUCUCAGCUUGUUUGGAGAGCUGAGGGUCAGAGCAAAGGGUCAGUCAUGAUUCAGCACCCCUGGAGCAGAGACGGGUUAAAGUGGGAGCUUGGUGGUCCCAAAGCUUGAACCCCUGACCUUCUGCUCAGUAACCCAGAACUUAAAGCAUUGAGCUACCAAUUUAUUAAAGCCCUUAUGGCUAAAGGAAUCGCCCACAAAUCUCCAGGAAAAAAAAAAUUGUAGUGGUUAAAAACUUUUAAAUAUAUAGUCUACUUUGGUAGACAGCAACAAUGUUCAAACAUCUAUGAAAAUUCAGUAUGCUGUGCAGCAUUAUUGAGGAAUUGUUCUAAUCUCCACAAAAAAAAAAAAAAAAAAAAUACUUAGGUUUGGGGUGGUGAGGGACCUAAACCCCAAAAGGAAAGCAUUUACCGAGCACCAGCGGCAUGUUCAUUUCGACCUUGUCAUUUGUUCAUAACUUAGGAACAUGUGCAGAAUAUUAACAUGUUUGUAAGAGAGAUUCUUUUUCUUUUUUUUUCACUUCUGGCUUUUUUUCUCGUAGCACUUUCAACCUUAAGGCAAACACGCCAACUUUGAAUAUUCUCAGAGGACAAUCAAGGAGGUGAAGGAAAACAAAAAGAAUUUGUCCGCCUUCAGAAGCCAAGACUCAGGUAACCGUUACAUCUCAAGUAUCAGCGGCCUGAGGGGAGAGGCAUCGGCAUACAGGAUGGAGAGGAUGUCACCUCGGCCAAUCCGCCUGCUGUGAGGGGAAUAACGAACGACGGAGCCGCAUGCAGACAUUUUCCUAACCUCCAGUUUCUACAGGCACGGCUCUCGCCCCCCCCGCCCCCAAAAAAGAAGGAACCGACUCCUGAGCCAACAGCUUCUCUAAAUACAUAAAUAAGUUAAAAGAGAUGGAAAAAAAAAAAAGGUCAAGAGGAUUCUGAGUCAUGAACUACAGGCUUCUGCAGAGAAAACCUAAACACAGCGUGAACAGGUAAUCAGAUCGCAUAUCACUCUAGUUUCGGACCUCUGUGACCAUAUGAGGUAAAGAAAAAGAGCCGAAAUGUUUGCACGAAUCAUGUCCAUACAAAGCAGUGGAAUUAGGGGAUUAACCCAGACCUGAUAGCCCUCGUUAGGCCUCUUGGUAAAAACUAAACAAAAAACAAAUCAAUUAAAAUCAAGAUUUCCUUUAUAUAUACUGUAUAUAUGUACUUAUAUACAACAAAUUUCGAAAGGCACAUCGGACGGAAAAAAAAACAAACCCCCAAAAAAAUAAAAACACACUAACAAAUCAAUAUAAGGGACAAAAAGGAUAAAACCAGGACAACUGGAAGACAUUUGUUUGGGAGUAGGAAAUUUCCGGGCUCUUGUGUAGGAGGCAGCUUCAUUCCUGAGUAGAAAUGCUGUGUUUACUAUUAGGUUGGUUUUAUGUCUCAGCUUUAAGCUUGUUGCCUUCAUGACCAUUACAUUGAGGGUCAUGUAGGGACACAUUCAAGACAAUUUUCACAUAUAUAAUAAUAAUAAUAAUAAUAAUAAUAAUAAUAAUAAUAAUAAUAAAAAAGAUUAU